CAUCGUCAGCAUUUAUAGUAUUAGUACAAAUUAUGAUGUAAUUAUAUAAUCCUUGUGGUUAUCAUUAUUGUACUUAUUUGUAUUAUUUUAACUAUUUAUGUCGGCGUGCACUUCUCCUCUAGUAGGACGUUGCGACCUGUUAAAUGUUUAUCUAUGGCCCAUAAGGUAGACUUGUGUAUUUUUAAUACGUAAGACCUUAUGGAUUCCUGAUAAACUGUUUGACAGUAUAUAUAUGGUAUUGAGCCGCAAAUUUAUUUGCGUUAGACUUAACACAAGUAAGGUUGUCUUUAAGCAGUACGGACAUGUGCCGUCGUUUAAAGCAAUCAACUGUUAGUGUUAAAGUCUCUAACUGGCUUAUUUUACCAGUCAGCGAUGCUACUGCUUUGGGUACUUACAGGACCCGUCUUGAAACACGGACCAAGGAGUCUAACAUGUGCGCAAGUCAUUGGGAUUUUUUUUAAAACAAACCUAAAGGCGUAAUGAAAGUAAAGAUUGUCUUUAUGACAAUUGAGGGAAGAUGGGUUAUAUUACGAUAUAAUCCCGCAUUCCCAGGACGUCUUAUUCUCAUU
rnacentral:rRNA from 1 species